rnacentral:rRNA from 1 species
AAUUGACGGGGCCCGCACAAGCGGUGGAGCAUGUGGUUUAAUUCGAUGCAACGCGAAGAACCUUACCAGGCCUUGACAUACUCGGCAAAGCUCUAGAGAUAGAGUGGAGGUUAUCCGGGAUACAGGUGGUGCAUGGUUGUCGUCAGCUCGUGUCGUGAGAUGUUGGGUUAAGUCCCGCAACGAGCGCAACCCUUGUCUUUAGUUACCAUCAUUCAGUUGGGGACUCUAGAGAGACUGCCGGUGAUAAACCGGAGGAAGGUGGGGAUGACGUCAAAUCAUCAUGCCCCUUAUGGCCUGGGCUACAAACGUAAUACAAUGGCGUAUACAAAGGGAUGCGAAAGGGCGACCUGGAGCAAAACUCACAAAGUACGUCUCAGUUCAGAUUGGAGUCUGCAACUCGACUCCAUGAAGGCGGAAUCGCUAGUAAUCGCGGAUCAGCAUGCCGCGGUGAAUACGUUCUCGGGGUUU